rnacentral:rRNA from 1 species
GAUGAACGCUAGCGGGAGGCCUAACACAUGCAAGCCGAGCGGGAUUUGAGACUAGCUUGCUAGUCUUAAUGAGAGCGGCGUACGGGUGCGGAACACGUGUGCAACCUGCCUUUAUCUGGGAGAGAGCCUUUCGAAAGGAAGAUUAAUAUCCCAUAAUAUAAUGAUUGGCAUCAAUUAUUAUUGAAAGCUCCGGCGGAUAGAGAUGGGCACGCGCAAGAUUAGAUAGUUGGUGAGGUAACGGCUCACCAAGUCGAUGAUCUUUAGGGGGCCUGAGAGGGUGAUCCCCCACACUGGUACUGAGACACGGACCAGACUCCUACGGGAGGCAGCAGUGAGGAAUAUUGGACAAUGGGUGAAAGCCUGAUCCAGCCAUCCCGCGUGAAGGAUUAAGGACCUAUGGUUUGUAAACUUCUUUUCUACAGGGAUAAACCUACUCUCGUGAGAGUAGCUGAAGGUACUGUAGGAAUAAGCACCGGCUACUCCGUGCCAGCAGCCGCAGUAA